rnacentral:rRNA from 1 species
ACUCCUACGGGAGGCAGCAGUGGGGAAUAUUGCACAAUGGGCGAAAGCCUGAUGCAGCGACGCCGCKUGAGGGAUGACGGCCUUCGGGUUGUAAACCUCUUUCAGCAGGGACGAAGCGCAAGUGACUGUACCUGCAGAAGAAGCACCGGCUAACUACGUGCCAGCAGCCGCGGUAAUACGUAGGGUGCGAGCGUUGUCCGGAAUUAUUGGGCGUAAAGAGCUUGUAGGUGGCUCGUUGCGUCGGGAGUGAAAACCCGCGGCUUAACCGCGGGCCUGCUUCCGAUACGGGCGGGCUAGAGUUCGGCAGGGGAGACUGGAAUUCCUGGUGUAGCGGUGGAAUGCGCAGAUAUCAGGAGGAACACCGGUGGCGAAGGCGGGUCUCUGGGCCGAUACUGACACUGAGAAGCGAAAGCGUGGGGAGCGAACAGGAUUAGAUACCCUGGUAGUCCACGCCGUAAACGUUGGGAACUAGGUGUGGGGUCCAUUCCACGGGCUCUGUGCCGCAGCUAACGCAUUAAGUUCCCCGCCUGGGGAGUACGGCCGCAAGGCUAAAACUCAAAGGAAUUGACGGGGGCCCGCACAAGCGGCGGAGCAUGUGGCUUAAUUCGAUGCAACGCGAAGAACCUUACCUGGGCUUGACAUGUUCGGUCUACCUGCAGAGAUGUGGGGUGCUUUUGCGCCGUUCACAGGUGGUGCAUGGUUGUCGUCAGCUCGUGUCGUGAGAUGUUGGGUUAAGUCCCGCAACGAGCGCAACCCUCGUUCCAUGUUGCCAGCGCGUUAUGGCGGGGACUCAUGGGAGACUGCCGGGGUCAACUCGGA